ACGUAGGUGGCAAGCGUUAUCCGGAUUUACUGGGUGUAAAGGGCGCGUAGGCGGGGAUACAAGUCAGAUGUGAAAUCUAUGGGCUUAACCCAUAAACUGCAUUUGAAACUGUAUCUCUUGAGUGUCGGAGAGGUAGACGGAAUUCCUAGUGUAGCGGUGAAAUGCGUAGAUAUUAGGAGGAACACCAGUGGCGAAGGCGGUCUACUGGACGAUAACUGACGCUGAGGCGCGAAAGCGUGGGGAGCAAACAG
rnacentral:rRNA from 1 species